UGUCCGUUGUCUAAAUUGGCUAUUUGACACAUUGGCCCAAAACAACAGAACUCCUGGUCAACGGAACUGAACUCUUUCACAACUGUAAUUACUCUGCUGAUGGUCCAUGUAUAGGACACAAUCUGGCAACUAUUGAAACAAACAUAAACCUGCAGAGGUGAAUGGAUAUGGGAGCUAAAGAGCCUUGCUAUGAGGAAAAACUCUACCAUGCACACAGAGAACAGAGCUCAAUGCUGCUAACUGGGCGAGCAACUGGACAACUAGAAGAGAAGAACAGUAGAACACUAUUAAUACAGAUGACUGGAUUACUCUUCUGCAAGAACCAAGACAAGCAAAGACUGAUGAUGAGCGCUCUGAGCAAACACAGCAGUCAAGAUGCAUGAGUGACUUUACUGAGUUCUUCAUAGUGUUGGGCAUUUA